GACGAACGCUGGCGGUGUGCUUAACACAUGCAGGUCGAACGGUAAGGCCCUUUCGGGGGUCCACGAGUGGCGCACGGGUGAGUAACACGUGAGUAACCUGCCCUCAUCUCUGGGAUAACAGUCGGAAACGGUUGCUAAUACUGGAUAUGAGCCUGCAAGGCAUCUUGUGGGUUGGAAAGAUUUUUUGGUUGGGGAUGGACUCGCGGCCUAUCAGCUUGUUGGUGAGGUAGUGGCUCACCAAGGCUUCGACGGGUAGCCGGCCUGAGAGGGCGACCGGCCACAUUGGGACUGAGAUACGGCCCAAACUCCUACGGGAGGCAGCAGUGGGGAAUAUUGCACAAUGGACGGAAGUCUGAUGCAGCAACGCCGCGUGCGGGAUGACGGCCUUCGGGUUGUAAACCGCUUUCAAUUGUGACGAAGCUUUUUGUGACGGUAGCAGUAGAAGAAGCACCGGCUAACUACGUG
rnacentral:rRNA from 1 species